CAGUGGGGCUCGAAAGUUUGGGCACCCCUUGCAGAAUCUGUGAAAAUGUGAGUAAUUUUCAAAAAAUAAGAGAGAUCAUACUAAAUGCAUGUUGUUUUUUAUUUAGUACUGUCCUGAGUAAGAUAUUGUACAUAAAAGAUGUUAACAUUUAGUCCACAAGACAUAAAAAAUGCUGAAAUUAUUAAAAUAACCCCACUCAAAAGUUUGGGAACCCUUGGUUCUCAAUACUGUGUCCUGUUACCUGAUGAUCCACGACUGUCUUUCUGUUUUCUGAUGGUUGUGCAUGAGUCCCUUGUUUGUUCUGAACAGUUAAACUGAGCAGCGUUCUUCAGAAAAAUCUUUAAGGGGGGGUGAAAUGCUCAUUUUCACUCAAUCUCCUGUUAAUCUUGAGUACCUAUAGAGUAGUACUGCAUCCUUCAUAUCUCCAAAAAGUCUUUAGUUUAAUUAUAUUUAUAAGAGAAAAAUAGUCUGUGCCGAUUUUUUUCGGAAAAACACGAGCGCCUGGAGGCGUGACGUGUGGGCGGAGCUAAAGAAUCACGAGCGCGAGUAGGCUUUUGCGUUGAGAGCGUUUGGAAGUUGUGACAUUACCGUGAGGAAAAAAAACCCAUCAUCCAAAACAAACCAUGGCUAACAGUCAGAUUCAGCCGUUUAUUUAUGAUCCAGAAUCAGAUCACGAGGCUGAAACUGAACGAGAGCAGCAGCAGCAAUGACUACAGCAGGACGUCUCUAUGUGGUAUGUAUUGAAACUGUAUAUAUUUGCUUAGCGGUUUUGGAAAAUGACUAAGUUCCACUUUGUCGUCUUUUUUUUUUCUUUAAAGGUGUACAAGGUUUACUUGAUGUGCUUACGCGCCGAUAGCUAAGUUAACAACACAGAGAUAUUUGAAGCAGUUUUACUCACCGCCUGCGGUUCCAACACACGAUCGUGACCCUUUUUUGUUGGGAUUGCAUCAUCCUUAAGAAAUAAACGAUAUGCAAAUCCAGCGUCAAACUGGGCCUUGUUUGUAAAACAAGCAUCUUCGAAAUGCAGGGAACAAACAAAAACACUUGCUCAACUCCGUCGAUGCUCUGUAAAAAUAAACUCCGUCCACUGGUCCCUUAAUGUUUUUUUUUUGGUAAUCUGUGCAGGGUUGUCUUGCCCUCGCAACCAAAAACACACUUCUUUUGUGACAUUUCGUGACGCUCUCGCUCUGAUCAGUGAAUGUAUCUGCUCCGCACUGCUCUACGGGAGCGCGCGCUCUUCCGGCUGAAGUGCUCUUAGGACCCAUAUAAGGAAAUUCCGCUCCAUCUAACGUCACACAGACCCAUACUCGAAAAAAACUUUCCGAAACUUGUGACAAACCGGAAGCAGUAUUUUUGGAACAAAAAUACUCCUUCAAACGUACAACUUAAUUUUUGAAACUUUGUCCAUGUUUAGCAUGGGAAUCCAACUCUUUAACAGUGUAAAAAACUCAGUAUGCAUGAAAUAGCAUUUCACCCCCCCUUUAAUAA